GAGGGGGGGGAGUGGGGUGACCCCUGCCUUGCCCAGGCAGAGGGGGAAAUAGCCCCAGAUGUUUCUCAGUGGUUCCAUGCUGUGGCUGCUGGCCUAUGUAUCCGGUGCCAGCAUUUCCCAGGAAGCCGUGCCAAGCCAAGGCCACUAAAAGAGAUCGGAUCCCCAGCUGUCUGGCAUGAGUAGGGGGAUGGAACAGAUGAAGGUUGGCGGCCGAUCAGCAGGUUUAUUACCCUCAACGGGGCAGAUCAAACAGCUUGGAAACCACCAUUUCCCAGAGGAGAGUGGGUUUUUGGUAAAAGCAAUCACGGUCACACCCUUCUACCUGCCCUGGUGAAUUAUUUUCCAGUUUGUUCCAGCCCUGUCAAUUGAUGGGGUCUCUGGGUUACUUACUGCAGUUGUUCUGAAUCAGCACCAGAAAUGGAAUAAACUUCCCAUAUAUUGAUUUCACAAGCUUGAGGGAAGACAUUUGCUAUUUAUUUACUUACUGGAAGGAUUUAUGAAUCACUUUUCUGCUGAAGACGUCUUAAGGAGACUCUGGGAUGAGAGGCAAGUUUAAGUGCUUUGUACAUUGGAAGCUACUUGGGAAAAUUCAGUACUGGUGAAUUAUUUGCCCAAACAUGGAAGAGUGUGCUACUGCUUUGCAAGCAAAAGCAUAAGUGGAAUUUUUGCAACAAUCAGGAUUUACAUCGCCAACAUUGAAACAGUAGGGUAUAAUAUAUGUACUUAUCUUUCCUUCUUUUGAAAUUCCUUUUCCUCGGGAAGCGC